UCUAGUAUAGCAUUAUACCGUGAAACUGCGAAUGGCUCAUUAAAUCAGUUAUCGUUUAUUUGAUAGUACCUUACUACUUGGAUAACCGUGGUAAUUCUAGAGCUAAUACAUGCUAAAAACCCCGACUUCGGGAGGGGUGUAUUUAUUAGAUAAAAAACCAACGCCCUUUGGGGCUUUUUGGUGAUUCAUGAUAACUUUUCGGAUCGCAUGGCCUUGCGCCGGCGACGGUUCAUUCAAAUUUCUGCCCUAUCAACUUUCGAUGGUAAGGUAUUGGCUUACCAUGGUUUCAACGGGUAACGGGGAAUUAGGGUUCGAUUCCGGAGAGGGAGCCUGAGAAACGGCUGCCACAUCCAAGGAAGGCAGCAGGCGCGCAAAUUACCCAAUGGCAAUACGCCGAGGUAGUGACAAUACAUACUGAUACAGGGCUCUUUCGGGUCUUGUAAUUGGAAUGAGUACAAUUUAAACCUCUUAACGAGGAACAAUUGGAGGGCAAGUCUGGUGCCAGCAGCCGCGGUAAUUCCAGCUCCAAUAGCGUAUAUUAAAGUUGUUGCAGUUAAAAAGCUCGUAGUUGAAGCUUGGGUCUGGCUGGCAGGUCCGCCUCACCGCGUGUACUUGUCCGGCCGGGUCUUCCUUCUGGAGAACCUCAUGCCCUUCACUGGGCGUGUUGGGGACCAGGACUUUUACUUUGAAAAAAUUAGAGUGUUCAAAGCAGGCCUUUGCUCGAAUACGUUAGCAUGGAAUAAUAGAAUAGGACUGCGGUUCUAUUUUGUUGGUUUCUAGGACCGCCGUAAUGAUUAAUAGGGACAGUCGGGGGCAUCCGUAUUCAAUUGUCAGAGGUGAAAUUCUUGGAUUUAUUGAAGACGAACUACUGCGAAAGCAUUUGCCAAGGAUGUUUUCAUUAAUCAGUGAACGAAAGUUAGGGGAUCGAAGACGAUCAGAUACCGUCGUAGUCUUAACCGUAAACUAUGCCGACUAAGGAUCGGAUGAUGUUCUUUUUAUGACUCAUUCGGCACUUUCCGAGAAAUCAAAG
rnacentral:rRNA from 1 species